GCAUCUUCUCUCGCGUGGAAUCGUCUGCCUUCCCUUCAGCUGUUCCUCGGAUGACAGUUUCCAGUCCCCCCACCACGCUGCUGCCCUUACCUCUCUGAUCGUGUUUCAUUUGUCUGUAUGCCUCCUAAGAAGUAUCUCCCAGCUCUAGAAUGUGGUGUGCAUACUGAAGCCUUCUUUAUUCAUAAUCUCCAAAGAUUGGAAACAACCUAGAUGUCUUUCAGCUGGUGAAUGAAUAGACAAAACUGUGGUACAUCCAUGCUACUCAGCUAAGUGCAGGAACGCACUGCUGAUGAACGCGAUGAUGUGGAUGAAGCCCAGAUGCAGUGUGCUAAGUGGAAUAAGCCAGACUCAAAGGGCUACAGAUGAGAUCACCCCACUUUCACAUUCUGAGAAGGCAGAACUAUGGGGACAGAAGACAGCUCAGUGGCUGCCUGGGGUAGGGAUGGGGACCACAAGGGGCAGAAAGGCAUUUGGGAAGUGAUGGAGCUCAUUCUAUAUCUUGAUAAAGUGGUGGUUACAGGACUGUAUGUAUUUGUCAAAAUUCAGAGAGCUACACACCAAAAAAAAGUGGAUUUUAGUGCAUGUAAACUAUACCUCAGUGUUUUUUAAAAUAAAGCCCUUAAAGAUCCCA